AGGGUUUGAUUCUGGCUCAGGACGAACGCUGGCGGCAUGCUUAACACAUGCAAGUCGAACGAGAAAGCUUCUUCGGAAGUGAUUAAAGUGGCGCACGGGUGAGUAACGCGUAGACAAUCUGCCCUUCAGUCCGGGACAACUUUCCGAAAGGGGAGCUAAUACCGGAUAACAAUGUUUGACAUAAGUUGAAUAUUUGAAAGCUCCGGCGCUGAUGGAUGAGUCUGCGUCCCAUUAGCUUGUUGGUGCGGUAGCGGCGCACCAAGGCAACGAUGGGUAGCGGGUUUGAGAGGACGAUCCGCCACACUGGAACUGAGACACGGUCCAGACUCCUACGGGAGGCAGCAGUGGGGAAUAUUGCACAAUGGAGGAAACUCUGAUGCAGCAAUGCCGCGUGAGUGAAGAAGGCCCUUGGGUCGUAAAGCUCUUUUAUGGGGGAAGAUGAUGACGGUACCCCAGGAAUAAGCACCGGCUAACUACGUGCCAGCAGCCGCGGUAAUAC
rnacentral:rRNA from 1 species